GGACAAUCUGACCUAUGGAAGGGGAUAACCCCGGGAAACUGGGGAUAAUACCCUAUAGACUAUGGAGGCUGGAAUGCACUGUAGUCGAAAGGUCCGCCGCCAUAGGAUGGGUCUGCGGCCGAUUAGGUUGUUGUUAGGGUAACGGCCCAACAAGCCUGUAAUCGGUACGGGUUGUGGGAGCAAGAGCCCGGAGAUGGAUUCUGAGACACGAAUCCAGGCCCUACGGGGCGCAGCAGGCGCGAAAACUUUACAAUGCGGGAAACCGUGAUAGGGGAACUCCGAGUGCCCGUAAAAUCGGGCUGUCCACCAGUUUAAAUAACUGGUGAAGAAAGGGCCGGCAAGACCGGUGCCAGCCGCCGCGGUAAUACCGGCGGCUCGAGUGGUGGCCACUAUUACUGGGCUUAAAGCGUUCGUAGCUGGUUUGUUAAGUCUCUGGGGAAAUCUUCCGGCUUAACCGGAAGGCGUCUCAGGGAUACUGGCAGACUAGGGACCGGGAGAGGUGAGGGGUACUCCAGGGGUAGGAGUGAAAUCCUGUAAUCCUUGGGGGACCACCUGUGGCGAAGGCGCCUCACCAG
rnacentral:rRNA from 1 species